rnacentral:rRNA from 1 species
AUGGACCCGGUCUCACUGCCGAACUUCAAGCAUGGAGUGCGGCGCUUUAGCGACAUCUUCGCUGUGGACGUCCACCCAGACGACGUGGAGAAGAAAAUGAAGAUAAACGUGAAGUUGAAGUUGAAGAACAAGACGGAGAAGGAAAAGUUGAUGGGAUUCCGCUUCCGCCGGGUCACGCACAGCAGGUACGAGUGCGGGACGCCCGCCUGGACGAUGGCCUUCGCCGCGACGGACACAAACGCGCUGUGGAACAUGUUGCCAGACAUGGAGCAUAUGUACGCACUGGGUGUCUGUACUAGAUCCGCAAGCCCUUGA